rnacentral:ncRNA from 1 species
UAAAUUUGAUUGUGGUUUAGGAAUAUUUAAAAUAAUGUUAUUUAAUUUUAAUUCAUUUAGUAGACAAUAUAAAAUUAUCUCGGUAAUAAAUCUUUUGUAUAACUUUUGUUCCAGAAUAAUCGGCUACACUAAAGAAAAUUGUACUUAAAUUGUUUUUUAUUUAGUUUUUAUUUUUUUUUUUAAUUUUAUUUUUUAGGUAAAAUUUAAAAAUUAUUAAAAUUUGUAUACUAAAUAAUAAGAUUUUGUUUUAAAAUUGGAUUAGUACCCAAGUAUAAAAAAUUUAAAAGUGCAGUAUUAAAGUAAAAUUUAAACUGAAAAAAUAUUGGCAGAUUUUUUAAUUAUCUUUGGAGGUUGAAAUAUAAUUGAGAACCCUCAUUAACAGCUUUUUCUUUUGAUUUAUGUAUGAUCGUUUAUUUAAUUUUUAAGAAAUUUAAUUAAAAUUUAUUAUUAUUAAAAUAGAUAAAUACCUAGUUUAUGAAAAAGUUUAAAUUUUGACCUACAAUAUUUUAUAAUGUGGAUUAUAAUUUUAGUUUUUUAUAUGAAAAUGUAAAAGACAGUAAAAAUAUUUUUAUGUUAUUUUGAAGUUUAUCAAAAAAUGGUACAAAUCAUCCAUCAAUUGCCUAAAGGGGAGUAAGUUGUAGUAAAGUAGAGUUAGGGGAACCUGUCUCUAGAAGAUCU